CCAAUAGCGUAUAUUAAAGUUGUUGCAGUUAAAAAGCUCGUAGUUGAAUUUCGGGGUUAGUAGGUUGGUCAUGCCUCUGGUAUGUACUGGUCUCACUGAUUCCUCCUUCCUGAUGAACCUUAAUGCCAUUUAUUUGGUGUUUUGGGGAAUUUGGGCUGUUACUUUGAAAAAAUUAGAGUGUUUAAAGCAAGCUAACGCUUGAAUACAUUAGCAUGGAAUAAUGAAAUAGGACGUUCGAUCCUAUUUUGUUGGUUUCUAGGAUUGACGUAAUGAUUAAUAGGGAUAGUUGGGGGCAUUAGUAUUCAAUUGUCAGAGGUGAAAUUCUUGGAUUUAUUGAAGACUAACUACUGCGAAAGCAUUUGCCAAGGAUGUUUUCAUUAAUCAAGAACGAAAGUUAGGGGAUCGAAGACGAUCAGAUACCGUCGUAGUCUUAACCAUAAACUAUGCCGACUAGGGAUCGGAUGAUGUUAAUUUUUUAAUGACUCAUUCGGCGCCUUACG
rnacentral:rRNA from 1 species